AUUGAACGCUGGCGGAAUGCUUUACACAUGCAAGUCGAACGGCAGCACGGGGCAACCUGGUGGCGAGUGGCGAACGGGUGAGUAAUACAUCGGAACGUGCCCAAUCGUGGGGGAUAACGUAGCGAAAGUUACGCUAAUACCGCAUACGAUCUACGGAUGAAAGCGGGGGAUCGCAAGACCUCGCGCGAAUGGAGCGGCCGAUGUCAGAUUAGGUAGUUGGUGGGGUAAAGGCCCACCAAGCCAACGAUCUGUAGCUGGUCUGAGAGGACGACCAGCCACACUGGGACUGAGACACGGCCCAGACUCCUACGGGUGGCAG
rnacentral:rRNA from 1 species